AGCAACAGCAGCGUAGCUGAACAUCUUACGGAUGGCCCAGGGCUCCAAAGGCUCGUUUCCUAAGUGAGAGAGAGCCUGGCUGAAGCUGUAUUACCAUUCAUUCUCCAGCCUCCGAAGUCUCAAAGCAUCACUUCCACCAUACUCUAACUGUCAAGACAAACACAAAGGCCCAGAGAAGGGGUCUCACUAUGUUGUCUGGAGUGCUGUGGUGGAGUGGAGUGGCUAUUCACAGAGCCUGUUCUGCUGGGACACAGAAUCACUUGCUCCAUCUCAUACAUUGAUGAUGAUUAAUUUGUAUGUGUACCUUCCAAAAAAGAUGGUUGUGUUUGAAUGGAGGCCUUCUGGACAGGAAAAUUGCAAAGUACAAUUAACAUUUGAGUCUGUCUGAGUCAUGAAGAAAUGGAGAUUACUGAAAAUAAUUCAUUUUGGUAUCUUCUUACAUCCUGAGAGACUAAUCUUUCCAAGUUCAUCUGAGGCUCCUCUUCUCCAUGACAACCUCAUCCAGGGAUUUCUUCCUGUCCUGGUGUUUUAUGACAUGUGGAAGGGGACUGUAGCAGGUGAUCUCCAAAGUCUCUGGAGACUUACUAAUGUGCAUCCUCAUCUCGCUUGUAAGGAUAAUAGCCUUCCUCCAAACCUCACACACUUUUGGAGGAGAUCACUUUUUUUAAAGUGCAUGGAAAUGUUUUGAAACAGUGAAAUCUAUAAUGAUAGGUUUCAUAAUUCUAACAUCCACACCAUAUGAAUCACAUCCUUCCUGAGAUAAUGAGCACACAAUUGCCUGGAUACCUGAAGGAAUGGAGACAGCGGCAGAAAACACUGCAGAGAGGUGGAAACAUCCGUUAAUAUUUUAAAAUCCCAUUACUGCUACCAACAAUAAUAAUGGAUGCAUAGAAAUAGAUCUGGAUUAGCUGAGCUUGAAACAGUCCAUCUCACACACACACAAAAGAAUUUCAGAUACAGUGAACCCACAUGUUGAAGCUUUCUAGUAUAAUAAAAAUUUCAACUGUUCUGUUGAAUCAUCUGCCUGAUUGGAGGCUACAGAAAAGAUGUCAUCUUAGGAGUGCUUGCUCUGAGUGAGGCUCAUCUUCAAAUCUGAAUGACCACAAGGAGAUUUGAUUAUACAUGUGAACACCUCAGAAGGCACAGCCCACCCAGAAGGCAGACAGAAGAAGCUGCCAGGAAGACUGUGAAAUCUUCAUGCCCAAGGAUCCCUAAAAUUAGGAGCAACAACCACUUGGCUCAGACGGUUUAUGGAGGCAAAGGUUUGGAUGGGAUUAGAGAUUUCUAAAUGUGAGUUCGUGUCCUCUGCCAGACCACCUUACUUCCACCAUUCCUCAGCAAAUCAAGAAAAACAGGAGAAAAGACAUGCCUUUCCAUAAGUUAAAUCUAUUCUGUUUUAAUUCUAUAUUAUAUCUGCUGUACAACUUCUUUUGUUUGUAACACCAUAUUGUUGCUAGUAACUGGAAAUUAAUUUUCACAUGCCUCAGCUUAGAAAAAUAAAAAGCAGCCCUGCAUCA
rnacentral:lncRNA from 1 species